AUUGAACGCUGGCGGCAGGCUUAACACAUGCAAGUCGAGCGGUAGCACAAGAGAGCUUGCUCUCUGGGUGACGAGCGGCGGACGGGUGAGUAAUGUCUGGGAAACUGCCUGAUGGAGGGGGAUAACUACUGGAAACGGUAGCUAAUACCGCAUAACGUCGCAAGACCAAAGAGGGGGACCUUCGGGCCUCUUGCCAUCAGAUGUGCCCAGAUGGGAUUAGCUAGUAGGUGGGGUAAUGGCUCACCUAGGCGACGAUCCCUAGCUGGUCUGAGAGGAUGACCAGCCACACUGGAACUGAGACACGGUCCAGACUCCUACGGGAGGCAGCAGUGGGGAAUAUUGCACAAUGGGCGCAAGCCUGAUGCAGCCAUGCCGCGUGUGUGAAGAAGGCCUUCGGGUUGUAAAGCACUUUCAGCGAGGAGGAAGGUGGUGAACUUAAUACGUUCAUCAAUUGACGCUACUCGCAGAAGAAGCACCGGCUAACUCCGUG
rnacentral:rRNA from 1 species